UGAGUAAUCUGCCCUUCACUUGGGGAUAAGCUUCGGAAACGGGGUCUAAUACCUGAUACGACAACUCCAUGCAUGUGGUGGUUGUGGAAAGUUUUUUCGGUGGAGGAUGUGCUCGCGGCCUAUCAGCUAGUUGGUGUGGGUAAUGGCCCACCAAGGCGACGACGGGUAGCCGGCCUGAGAGGGUGACCGGCCACACUGGGACUGAGACACGGCCCAGACUCCUACGGGA
rnacentral:rRNA from 1 species